rnacentral:rRNA from 1 species
AUUUAUCGCACAAAGAUGGGCUCGCGUCCCAUUAGCUAGUUGGUGAGGUAACGGCCCACCAAGGCGACGAUGGGUAGCCGACCUGAGAGGGUGAUCGGCCACACUGGAACUGAGACACGGUCCAGACUCCUACGGGAGGCAGCAGUGGGGAAUAUCGGGCAAUGGGCGCAAGCCUGACCCAGCAACGCCGCGUGAGGGAAGAAGGUCUUCGGAUUGUAAACCUCUGUCCUUGGGGACGAAAAAAAUGACGGUACCCAAGGAGGAAGCUCCGGCUAACUACGUGCCAGCAGCCGCGGUAAUACGUAGGGAGCGAGCGUUGUCCGGAAUUACUGGGCGUAAAGGGUGCGUAGGCGGCAUUGCAAGUCAGAUGUGAAAUCCCCGGGCUUAACUCGGGGGGUG